rnacentral:rRNA from 1 species
CAGUCGCCGCGGUAAUACGAGGGGGGCAAGCGUUGUUCGGAAUUAUUGGGCGUAAAGGGCGCGUAGGCGGUUUGGCAAGUUUGGUGUGAAAUCUUCGGGCUCAACUCGAAGUCUGCACCGAAAACUGCCGGGCUUGAGUAUGGGAGAGGUGAGUGGAAUUUCCGGUGUAGCGGUGAAAUGCGUAGAUAUCGGAAGGAACACCUGUGGCGAAAGCGGCUCACUGGACCAUUACUGACGCUGAGGCGCGAAAGCUAGGGGAGCAAACAGGAUUAGAUACCCCUGUAGUCCCUGUCUCUUAUAC